rnacentral:lncRNA from 1 species
CAGGUUCUGUUGGUGAGGUCAUUCGUUUUACUGAAUGUGAUGGAAACCAAGUAUGGUCAAAGAAUGUCAUCUAAAGAGGAGAUUGGGAUAUCAACUUCCUCCCUUUCUGACUUCUACCACAGGAAAGGAAUUUCAGCACUUCUUCUUUCAAGUGAAUACUGAGGAAAACUGGACACUACUUUAAACAGAGGAACUUGGAAGAAGAAAAAGAAGCAAGGGGAAAAAUAGUCCAAGGCUAAAAUGAAGUUUUAUGAGGAUACUAAUGAAAAGGUGGCAAAAGAAUGAAUUUUACAAAUGAAGGUAAUUUCUCAGAUCUUUUGUAAAUUCUAUUUUCUUUGACAUCCUUUCUGUUUU